ACAAAAUGUUAAUAACUUAAUCCUUAUAGAUUCUAUUAGAUUGAACAUAACUUAUCAUACACAUGAUGAACAUAUGUGUUUGUCAAGUUCCGUUCAAUCUAAUAGAAUCUAUAAGGAUUAAGUUAUUAACAUUUUGUUAAUAACUUUGGUGUAAACUCAGCUUAAAAGUAUUUCUUUUUGUUUACUAUUCAUGUUCUUGUGUUUUUUUACCACAUUACACAACUCCCCAUAAAUUAAUACUUUAUAAACUUAAAAAAAAUGUUAUGAUUUGAAAUUGAGUCAACAACCUCUUUCUCAAUCUACUUUUCAUUUUCAACUUUCUUUGUUCACCAGUUUUGUAAAUAAGAUGAUAUUUUAAACAGACCUGUUUUGAUUAAAAUUAAAAUUUGACUUUUUUCUUGAAAAAAGCCAUCCUAUUACAUACGGUACGGUCCCUUAUGCUCUCAUAAUCUAAAUUUUCCAAUUUAAAAUAAUUUUUUUCUCAUUCUGAUCUAGGCAACUAUGUAUGAUUGACCUAAGUAAAAAGAAUAUUGAAUAUAUGAAAAAUCUUUCUUGGAAACUUUAACUUGACUAUGCAUAACCUUAAUUAGUUAAAGUUAGUAUUAUUAUUUAUAUUGAUAUAUAAAAUAGAGUGGGCAUUUCUUUAAAAAUACCUGCUGCGUCCGUUCUUUAUCAUUGUAAUGAUAAUGACAAAGAGAAUGUCAUUAUAAUUAUAUCUUCUUUUGUGUAAAAGUUACAUAAUUAUGGAUCUUAUUUUUUAUCCAGUCUAUUGUAAUUAAAAUCAGUAACUACACACAGCCUAUUCUACUAGGCUUAGUUCUUAUAUUAAUAAUCUGAUGUACGGUAUACACUGAAUAUACUCAUUAUUUUUUACCAAACUGGCUUGAAAAAGAUUUUCUUUCACUUGAGUGCAGUUUGACAAUAAUUUAUAGUUUCCCUUGAGUCUAGAUAGUUCAGGGGUGAAUUAUAUUUUUGACUUUGGCCUGUUGCAAGAUCUUCUCUGCUGCUUGGAAUGUCCCUUCAAAGUAUUUACAGGAAAAGCAUUUAUGAAAAAAGCAUUAAAAGUUUCCUCAUAACCUUAUUAUCUUGGAGCUGACUUAUACAGUCCACUUCAGAUACUGACUCUCUGAAGCGAGGGAGGGAGGGAGCUUUCGUUUGUAUCGUUGCUAAGCAACGCAAUUGUAUGGAUAACGAAAGAACGACAUGGAAAACAAAUUAUUUUUCAUAAAAUGAAACACAUUAAAAUUGUGAGGACUUACCAACGAAUUUUUAAGUGAUUCAACAUGCCUCAAGGUCGAAAAAAUGUGAAAAAAUCGCAAAGAAGGGCCUCCACCACAGCUGACUCAUCCACUGAAGAUGGACGAUCAUCCGUUUCCCAACCCAGACGCGGAAAACGCGUACAAAUCACUGAGCUAUCAGAAGAUACUGGCGAGAAGGAAAUAUCAGAAGAAUUCUCUGCUGUUCAAGAUAUGGACGCUGCCGCUGAAACGUCUGAAAUGGCUCUGAGUGAGGCGGAGGGAGGCCUGGAAGGUGAUGAGGGUCACGAAAAGGGCACCAGGCGAGUCGAGGAUGUUGUCAUGGUUAUACUCAAUGAAACUACGCAAAAGCUGCUAAAUUGUGUCAUAGGAGAACAUCUUUUUGUCGACAAGACUUGGUGUAAUGUACCAAAGACAGUUGUUAUUGAAGACUUGACUAAUCUGAAAGAGGAAUCAUCAUUUUUCCCCUUUGCCAAAGAUAUAGAGGCCUACAGCGAAGAAGAGUUCUUGAUUGGCUACACGCCUUUCGAGGAGGUGGAGAACCGUUUUCUGUUCUGCGUUACCGUUCAAGGAAAGAUGACUAUUUUAGAUAGAUUGUUCAACCUUCGUUCAUCGUACAUGCAACGCAUCACCAAGCUGAAGAGUGUUAGACCAGGAGUGUGGCAGUCGCAGGGCAGUGAAAAGGAAGUGGAAGCUGCAAACGUUCAUUAUGAAAGACCAUUGUUGAGCUUUGAAUGGCUGACGAAAUUGUCUCUAAGAAACACAGGUCAGCCAACAUUCAGUGACAAGGUUGCCGGGGUUGAUAAGUCAACUGUGGUCCACUGUCUGCCCACUUCAAAGGGACUCCAGGAUAUGAAACUUAUCGUUCGGAAAAGUCAAGAUGUGGCUGUUCAGGCUGUAAAACCAACUUCCAGGAAAUGUGUUCAAACAAUACCUCAAAUUCCAACCAAUGUUGCGGUGCAGUGUGUUUCUCAGACUGACAUCACGGAAGAGGCGAAAAAACAUGCUCCUGCCAUAACCGAUGAUCAGCUCAACACUUUUUUCGACAAAUAUCAAGAAUAUCUGCUGAAAGCAUUGCGCUACAAUGAGCUGUAUGACCUCUACCAUGAUGACUAUCCAACUCUGUCGAAGAUGGGCACAAAGUUCCAGCCAGCGCCCAUUGAUGUCUACAAGCAGUAUCAGUCAUUCACUGAUGUCGGCGCUAUAGAGGGCAAACUCAUUGUCAGUGUCUCUUGGAGCACCAAAUAUACAGGAGUGUUUGCAGUUGCCUAUGCUGAUGAGGUUCCAUGCAAAUGGAAUGUGGUGGAAUCGGAUAGUGACGACACGGAUUAUGACGAUGAGAAGUCGGAUAAUUUGGAAGCAACAAAAGGGGCCACAAAGGGGGCGACCAAGGGUGAAGAGGGUAGUGGUGACGGACAGGGGGUGGAGGAAGAGGCGGCCUGGAAGAAUGAGCGACAGGAUCUACAGGAUAUGUCUGCCUACAGCAAAUCUCAGGCCAAACUACAGCAACUUGAACUCGCUCGGCGUAGUUUUCGUGUCAGUGAAGCUGGAAAAGAUUUGAAAUUAAGAGAAUCUGGAUCAAAACUUGCUUUACCAAGAGGCACCCUCACUGGAGGAAGUGAUGGUGGAAAAUCAUCGUCUUUUGGAUUGCGUAAAAUUCGUUCAAAAGAACUCUUCAACCCCAACGUUCAAAUUGAUAGAAUGGAUGAUUAUGCAAUUAACCUGUCCAGUAAGAAAAUAAAAAAAGAAAUUUUUCAAAAGUACAAGCAGGAUCGGCGAGGAAGGAACAUAAAAGUGGUGAUUGAAGACGAGGAUUCGAGCAAGAAAGAAGUGAAGAAGAAGAAUGGGAUUGGUGAAAAGCAGAGCACGCUGCGUGAAACGCCGAGUUUGACAGCGAUCUGGGGUCCUGAGGAAAGCUGGGAGUACGGAAUGAGUUUGCGUGAAGCCGUUCGUCGUCUACAUAGACAUCACAAGAAGGUCCGGAAACAAAUUCACCGGAGAAUAAGACCAAUGUUCACACCUAUUCAGUGGCCCGAAACGGCUUUGUCACCGAAUCAGAAGAUAAAAGAGGAAGUGACAGAAACGUCUUCAGGAAGUGAUGAUGAGUCAUGUCCAGUAUCACAAUCAAGGAGGGAUCGUGAAAAAAUGACGUUCCAGUCUCGGAAACUAGUUGAAGAAUAUGAGGAAGUUAUCGAUGAAAAGGAAAUGAAAGAGGAAGCAGAAGUUCUUCCAAUGCUUGUUCCCAAUAAUCCAGUUCUCAUUUGGAGCUUCACAGAUGACUUGGCACCCAAGUUGCGUUUGGACUGUCCGUACGAGUUGUCGUGCAUUCAGUUUUGCCCUCAGAAUGGAAAUAUCCUGGCAGGCGCGACCGCCAGCGGCCAGGUGGUCAUCUGGGACAUCACUGGUCGAUUGGAAGCCAUUGAAAAUGCCGACAACGAGCAUACUGAAGAGAGUAAACAUCGCAAACGCCUCGAAGACUUAAUGGACUGGACGAAAGAUAUCAGAACCAAGAGAAGGGUGAAUGUAACUGCUAUUUCAAGCGGCUCUUUCUCCCACAGGGAACGUUGCACAGACCUGAAAUGGAUUCAUCCUUGCAUUGAGAUCAACAAUCUGGGACAUGGGGAGCCUGUAGCUCCUGGGAAUUUCUCUUAUCAAUUCGUCACAACAAGUCUUUGUGGCACAAUACUUUUCUGGGAUCUAAAAUCAGAUCCAAUUGUCAAAGCGAAGUCCAAAAACGUAAAACCUCAUCAGAAGAUAUUCUCGCAGUUAUAUAAUCCUUAUCCAGAGUCGCCGUUUGCUCCCUUGAACAAUGCUUGGAAACCAUUUCUGAAGAUAAAACUUCCUGAGUCGGCUGGUAGUUCAGAAAUCCUUACAGGAUUAGCUGUCGAUCAGCCUCCAACCAAAUAUGAUUUGAAAAAUCAAUUCAACCACCAAGGACCACAAUACAUGGAGGAUAGAUGUGAAUAUGGUCUUGUGCAUACACCAAUUCUUGGCUAUUCAAGUCAGAUCAACGUUGGAACACGCUGUGGUGACGUUGGCAUAAUAGAGCUGACGGGAGUGAAGCCAGGAACUAAUGAACUGGAAUUCAUCCAGAAAUGGUAUGAUCUAGCUCAUGAUGGACCAGUUACGGGAGUUUUUCUUCAUCCAUUUUUCCCUCAACUGACUAUCACAGCAGGAGGACAUAUCUUCGCUCUAUGGCAUAGCAAGUUUGAGGAUUAUCCAAUAAUGUGGCGUCGCUAUAGAAAGGUGCGCGUUACCGCAUGUCUUUGGUCUACGCUGCGACCUUCGCUGUUCCGAAUCGCGCGUGAAGAUGGUUCAGUCGAGAUCUGGGAUUUGCUCCGUCAGAGCAACCAAUGUCAGCGCGAUAUUAUCGUCUCCGGCCAAAUUUUGACAACCAUUGCUGGUGGUCCUUUGCCGUUGCCCAGAGGACUCCUUGGAAUUGCUGAUUACAAUAGUACUAUGAGAAUGUUCUACAUCCCCUGGCAAUACCAAGUAUGGACUGAAGAUGAGAGACUGCAAAUGGAAGUGAUGAUCGAUAAAGAGCCAGAACGAUUGCGAAGGAUGCACGAAUGGCGGAAGUGGUUCAGCGAAACACAAGUCACCAAAGCAAAUGCCGAGGAGAAGCAUGAUGAACUCGAUGAAAUACAAGAGAGUGAGGAUGUGGAAACCUCGCGUCAAGAGGAAGUUCGUAGAAAAUACAACGAAGAAGUGUAUAAAUGGUACAUGAAACGGAGAGGAAAGUAUGUGACAAAAUUCGAAAUGGAAGCCAAGGAGAGGCUUGAAUUACGGGAGAGAGCUCACAUGCUUAAUACUGUUAUGACAAGGAAGAAAGUAGACAGACAAAGGAUGGAGAAGCUGAUGCAUCCUCUAGUGAAAAUGGAACGCCAAGAAAUGGAGAGAGAGGAAAAAGCUCAGCGUCGUUUGAAGGAGGCCGACGCUCUUUUCAAAGCAGCUGUUCAGAAGCUGUUUCCUUCUUCUUCCGAGAUGGCUGAAACAAAAGCUACUAAAGCAGCUGGUGGAGGAAGGCCAUCCGAUUCUGAUUUCGAAAACUCGAAUGGAAAACUAUCUAGAUUGGAAAUACAAACAGCGCGAGGAGAAUAUCGACAAGCUGAAGCAGAUCUACGGUCCGAAUUACGAUGUAUUCUGGGAUCGUGACGUCACAUGCCGUCGUUUACAGGAUAGGAAGGAAAUGCUCACAGGAAUAAAAGAGGACAAAACGAUGGAAGCGGAAAUAUCUGGAGAAGAGCGUCGCUCGUCGGCUCUGGAGUUCAUGAUGGAUGAGAUAGAUGCGGUCGAAAUGAAAAGACAAAAAUCGACUGAAUCAGACGGUGAACCAAUCAAGAGUGUUCUGGAGAAAAUGUCAGCCAUGACCGUAGACGAAUCUAUCGAUGAACUUGAUCUUGAUGAACAGGUUCUGUUGAUGACGCGGCAGAGCGGCCUGCUACCUAGCGUGCCUUCGCCGACCGGCCUGAGUUGGCUGUCGCUGGACAUGCAGGAGGACCAGGCGUCAGUCGAGUUUGACUUCAAACCGGAGCUCGACUCAACGCCGCACACGUUCGUGUCGCAACAAGCGAAGACCGUCAAGCAGCAGAAGAUCGUUCAGCAGUCGGUGGCCAUCGAAAUGCAGACGGAUGACGAAUCAGAUGAGGAAGAAGACGAUGAUGAUAAUGAGGCUGAACAGUUGGAAGCUAGGCAGUUAUCUGGUGAAGAGCAUCACAGCACCACUAACGAACUCUCUGAAGAAGAGACCGCUG
rnacentral:misc_RNA from 1 species